rnacentral:lncRNA from 1 species
AUGGGACGUGCUGGAGCCAUGGGUGACGGUGACGUCCUGGUGACUGCGCUUGUCCUGCUGCUGGCCGCCGUGGCUGUCUGGUGGGCCUUUGGCCACCGGCAACCACGGAGCCGGAGCACACGGACAGCGAAGAGGAGCAAGCGCCCCAGGGUCCGGCCCAGAGGCUCAUGGAGGAAGCGAGGAGCCCCUGCGGCUCCCAGGUUCCCCAGGCCUCGGGCUGCUCCUGGCGAGCAGCCACGUGCUCCCGCCAGCCCCCUGGGCAGCCCCUGCGGCUGCGGCCCCUGCCUGGCAGUGGCCCGGGAGCUGCAGGAACUGAUGCUGCAGCUCUGGGAUGGCAACGGGACACGUGCGCCCCUCUACUCUGGGAUGUGGCAGGCCUUGUGGAAAGAACUGAAGGAGCUGCUGGAGCGAGGCCACCUGCCCUGCUGUGCCUCGGCCAGCUCCUCCACAAGCCUCCAUCCCUUCCAGAGGCUGCUCCCAGCGAGAUUCUCCAUCCCUGGGAGAGCCUCAAGGCCUGCAAGGAUGGCACAGCAGGGGGGAGCCACCACCAUCCAUGCAGGAACCUCAGGCUGUCAGAGACCCUGCACCCUGCCAGCAGCCUCUGCUAUCUCUGACAGCCUCCAUCCCUCGCAGAGGCUCAGUGAGACCUGUCAGCCUGCGGAAGGAGCAGAGCCCGUGGACAGGUCUCCCAGCUCCCUUGGACUCACGGACGUCAACAACAUGGGCGCAAUCCUGACCCUUGACAUGGCAGGGGAAAGCCCACAAGUCCAAAUGGGAGCCCAGCCCGAUGCAGGGGAGCCUGCUCAGGAGCAGCUGACGGGGCAGCAAGUGUCCUGGAGCCAGCUGUGGUCAUCCCACAGCGGCCAGGACAGCCAGGACGCUGUGCCGGUUCUGCCAGCUGGCAACAGCCCGAGCCUGGUGGUGGAGACGAGCCUUCAGAGGUUCCUCCAUCUGCAGGAAGCUGCCCCGAGACAGCCCUCGAGUGCCGCGAAGGGCUUUCUAGUAGCAGGUGAGAUCUUCUGA